rnacentral:rRNA from 1 species
AUUGAACGCUGGCGGCAGGCCUAACACAUGCAAGUCGAACGAGUGGCGGACGGGUGAGUAAGGUCUGGGAAACUGCCUGGGGGAGGGGGAUAACUACCGGAAACGGUAGCUAAUAACGCAUACCAUCGGAUGUGCCCAGAUGGGAUUAGCUUGUGGGUGGGGUAACGGCUCACCAAGGCGACGAACCCUAGCGGGUCUGAGAGGAGGACCAGGCACACUGGAACUGAGACACGGUCCAGACUCCUACGGGAGGCAGCAGUGGGGAAUAUUGCACAAUGGGCGAAAGCCUGAUGCAGCCAUGCCGCGUGUAUGAAGAAGGCCUUCGGGUUGUAAAGUACUUUCAGCGGGGAGGCGUUACCCGCAGAAGAAGCACCGGCUAACUCCGUGCCAGCAGCCGCGGUAAUUC